AAUAUUGGGACAUAUAAAAAAAGACAACUCUGUUUUGCAGAGUAGCUGUAGACAUUACAGUUGCGCACGCACUUUGUUGAAUCUAGAGAACCUCGGGCUAAUCGCACAUCCCCGUGGUGGUGACUUUGCAUGCGGAUGGCAUCCAUAUCAACUUUCGAUGCCCGUUUCUGCGCCUACCAUGGUGAGCACGGGUAAUGGGGAAUCAGGGUUCCAUUCCCUACAGGGACCCUGAGAAAUGGUUAGCAAAUAGCAAGGAAGGCAGUAGGCGCGCAAAUGACCCACUCCCGACGCAGGAAGGUAGUGA